rnacentral:lncRNA from 1 species
AUGAUUACAUGAGAAGGACCUGCUGUUGCCAGCUGGGAUCUAUUUAUUGGAGAGUACCCAGGAUCAGGGGGAAAUCACCUGCCCUGCAGCCUGACCCUGACAGCUGGGAAGUGGUUGCUCUCUUCAGCAUGGGCUCAGCUCUGUGCAUUCUCAGGGAAGAUGAAAUGCUCUUAAGCAGAGGGGAAGAAAAGAUGCAAGAAGAAAACAAAAAAGAAAAUAACUCCAAGGAAAAGAGAGAGAAGCUCGGAGGGAAGUUGGCUCCAGAGGAAAGAGAGGUCCUCGAGAAUGAAAUUCUGGUGGCACAGUCCUGAUUGAUUCUGAUGAGGAAGACAAAGUGUAGAUUUUCAAAGAGACCAAUGUGGCUAUAUGGGGAACUCAUUACUGGAAGCAAAAGCAGGUAACUGAAGAUGAAUACCAAAGAGAACUGUUGUCCUAUU